rnacentral:rRNA from 1 species
UACGGGGGGGGCAAGCGUUAUCCGGAAUGAUUGGGCGUAAAGCGUCCGCAGGUGGCAGUUCAAGUCUGCUGUCAAAGACCGGGGCUUAACUUCGGAAAGGCAGUGGAAACUGAACAGCUAGAGUAUGGUAGGGGCAGAGGGAAUUCCUGGUGUAGCGGUGAAAUGCGUAGAGAUCAGGAAGAACAUCGGUGGCGAAGGCGCUCUGCUGGACCAUAACUGACACUCAGGGACGAAAGCUAGGGGAGCGAAUGGG